GGUAGGGCCUGGGGGCCUGCGGGAGGGAGGAGCUAGGGUCGGAAGCUACAGGGAGAUCCCCGCACACUCGACAGAAGUCCUCCUGGCAGGUGAAGAGGUCCCAGUGUGAAAGGGGUAGCGGAAGGCCUCGGGCUCUGCGCUCACCCUCGUGUGUCCAGUGCUGACCUGCAAGGCGGAGAGAGCGCAGCUGCAGCCGGCGCAGCGGGCGGCGUCCGCGGCCCUCGGCCUCCCGCCGACACUCCUCCUGCCCCACCUCCCGCCGUUCUUUCUCCACCCUCCUCCCCAAGCCCUUCGCGAAGGAAGCCUUGAAAUCCUACACCUCGGCGGAAAGGUCGGGGGGCCGAUGUCAAAUCGCCAGCGGGGCGGCGCGGCAAACCUGGCAGCAUGUGGACAUCAGCACAGACAGACACACAGGCAUCCAAAUGUACCUACCCGCUUCUGCAGCCAGGAUCCAAAUCACCUCCAGCAGCAGAGUGAAGACCAACAUGGUAUCCCUGGAAGAUGCAGGUCCUGGGACUUUGGGGACUUGAGGACUAGGGUUGGCGGAGAAAGAGUGGGGUGGGGGGGAAGAGGGAAGGAGAGGGAGGAAGGAGGGGGGAGGGACAGAGAGAGAGAGAGAGAGAGAGAGAGAGAGAGGAGUUUCUUGGAGCUGAGCUGAUUGUAUUUCUCUCUUUUUCUCUUGCGGUCUCUGUGUCUCUUCAGGCUUCCAGGGGAUUUGGUUUUCAGUAGGGUACCGUAAUGUUUUGGGUCCCUGGGACAAAUCUCUCGCUGCCUCGCUCUUUUUUAAUCUACCUCUACGGUCUUCACUCCACUUGCUGGCCAGCAACCUCACAAUUGCCUCCUGCUUUUAAGGUGGCUCUGGAUGAGUGUACGUGCUGGGGGGGGGGGCUGCCUGGGUUGCUGGUGAACAGCUCCUUAAAUAGCCUAUUAGGCAUGCAGAGCUGGAGCGUGCUGCGGGUUCGCGGGAGCCCUGGCCUUGGCUCAGGAGCCCAGCUGGGGUGAGCUCUUCCUUCCUCUGCUCUUUGCAAGGGCACUGUCCAGGUGGGUGUCCCCUGGAGUGGGCCGGGGGCACGGAAGGAAGGCUUGGGGGUCCAAUCCAGCCCCCUCAGGGGGACACUGUGUUCUCAUUCCCCGUCUGGCUUCUCCGAGGAGCAACUCCCCUGGGUGGCAUGGGGCAGUGGGUGGGAGGACCUUUUCCCUGUCCCCUGCAGGAUUUGAGCUGCCCCGGAACAGGAAGAGUCCAGAGUUCGGAGACAGCAGUUGGGGACUCAGGGUGCAGGUGGAGGGUAGAAAGUCAAGCGCUAAAACCUAGCUUGUGGAAAAUAAAGAAGAGAAGUGAGUCAAGAGAACUUGCUUGGAGCCAUCUCUUCCUGCGCCUGUCACCAGCCCUUCCCAUGGGUCACCGGCCCUGAGGAUGCACCCAUCUGAGCUCCCUCUGCGCUCAUCCCUCCUGCCAAGGAGCAAGAAAUAGCCAAAACAAAGGGAGCAGAAGCUAAAUAAGGAGCAGGAGAAAAGCCGAAUGAACAGAGUAAUGCAUGAGCUCCAUCCUCAGGGCCUGCGGAGGCAGGAGCGGCCCUGCCUUUCUGGCCCCUGUGACUGAUCUGCGAAGCAAAACCGUUUGGCAGAUGUCAUUUCCUUUUCCAUUUUCUCAUCACCCUCAGAAUUAUUUUUCCCUUACAGGCGCAUUUUAUGUUUUGAGAUUCCCCCAGAGCCCCACCCCUCUCAUCUAAGAGGAAAAAAAGGCAUGAAGUGUAAACUAGACAUCCUGGGAAUGAGGAGAGUUAACCCAGAAAAACAGAGAAAAGAAGAAAAGCAGAGACAUCUAUUGCAUGGGAGGAAAGAACGGGCCUGGACAGAAUGACCUCUGCUAGGUCAGAGUUCCCUUCCGGCAGCCCGGGCUGUAAUUCACCUUCCCCGUGCAGGGAACAUGUCUUGCCAGGCGCCACCUCCUGGUUGUCUCAUGAAUUUUUUUUUUUUUUUUUUACAUUUUAAAAAUUUUCAUUUAAAAUGUGUGUGUGAUUGCUGCAGGGAAGUGUUUCGCCGCUGGUGGGAUUUGGGAUUUUGCCUACAGAAAUAAACAUUGUUUCACAAAAAUGUCUUAGCCCCAUAUCAGCACUUUACCACUUCUGAAUGAGCAGCCUCUCCAGGCCCUCGUGCUUCCCAAGCGGACAAAGGCCUUAGUUUCUGGGAGGGAGGGAAAAAGGAGGCAAGCACCCUCCUCCAGGCCCUUGCCUUUAUUUUGAUCUUUGGCUCUACUAUGGAUAUAUCUAUUGUCACCAAGCUAAUUUGGAGUAGGUGUCAGGAGGACCCUUACAUGUUAAAACAAAACAAAAUAGCAUCCCACCCCCCAAUCCCUUCACCUUAGUAGCUACUCAAACUCUGGCACCUUUGUUUUAAUUCCUACUUCUCUCUCCAGCACAAUCCUUACCCCAUAGUUGGCCAAACCCAAGGCAUUCCACUGCCUUCUGGCGCCAUCUCCUGUCCUUUCAAAUGCAGUGAAAUGUGCACAGGCCAGAGAAUCAAGUGUCCAAGUGUGGUGGCUUUUGGUUUGCUUUUUCUUAAAAGGUCCUUUUUAUUUUAUUAUUGUAUUUUUUUUACAUGAGUA